UGUGGCUCUGCCUCCCGACUGCUGGGAUUAAAGGCAUGCGCCACUACCACCCGAAUACCUUGGAGAUUCUUUAUGAUUAUGAGGUCACUAUAGAAGUCACGAGCACAGUCAUCUGUGAUGCUGUUGAGCAGGGAAAAGAGGAAGGGCACAUUCUGAGACAGGAGAAAGCUGACCACGGCCCACCUUCCCACUCCUGCCCUCCAUCCUGGGUUACAGACUCCAGGGUCUACACCGAGGGUGGCUCUUGGGCAAGGCUAGCGAAGGCACCUCAUUGUUGUUGUCGUCGAGGGCUUUGAUCCUCCCCCUCCCUCCUCCAGGCUGGAGGGAUCAGAAAUGCCCAGGCUGAAGGCACAUCUCAAGUAUUCCAGAACCUUCUUCAGGAUGCCCUGCCAGAAAUGUCACAGGAAAUUAGCCAGAGCUGAUGUCAGGCUCAAGGAAGCAACAUUCAAUCAGUGACACCAUUCUCUCCCCAAAUUGAAUUAUUCAUCGUUUCCCGGUCUUAAUAAAAUAAUUACUGCUCGA